rnacentral:rRNA from 1 species
GAGUUUGAUCUUGGCUCAGGAUGAACGCUAGCGGCAGGCUUAAUACAUGCAAGUCGUGGGGCAGCAGGGUUGUAGCAAUACAAUCGCUGGCGACCGGCAAACGGGUGCGUAACACGUACGCAACCUUCCCGUUACUGUGGCAUAGCCCAGGGAAACUUGGAUUAAUACCACAUAUUAUAUUGAGGGGGCAUCCUCUUGAUAUCAAAGCUUCGGCGGUAACGGAUGGGCGUGCGGUUGAUUAGGUAGUUGGCGGGGUAACGGCCCACCAAGCCUACGAUCAAUAGCUGAUGUGAGAGCAUGAUCAGCCACACGGGCACUGAGACACGGGCCCGACUCCUACGGGAGGCAGCAGUAAGGAAUAUUGGGCAAUGGACGAAAGUCUGACCCAGCCAUGCCGCGUGAAGGAUUAAGGUCCUCUGGAUUGUAAACUUCUUUUCUCUGGGGCGAAAACCAGCUAUUCUUAGCUAUUUGACAGUACCAGAGGAAUAAGCACCGGCUAACUCCGUGCCAGCC